rnacentral:rRNA from 1 species
AGUGAACGCUGGCGGUAGGCCUAACACAUGCAAGUCGAACGGCAGCACAGUAAGAGCUUGCUCUUACGGGUGGCGAGUGGCGGACGGGUGAGGAAUACAUCGGAAUCUACUUUUUCGUGGGGGAUAACGUAGGGAAACUUACGCUAAUACCGCAUAUGACCUACGGGUGAAAGCAGGGGAUCUUCGGACCUUGCGCGACUGAAUGAGCCGAUGUCGGAUUAGCUAGUUGGCGGGGUAAAGGCCCACCAAGGCGACGAUCCGUAGCUGGUCUGAGAGGAUGAUCAGCCACACUGGAACUGAGACACGGUCCAGACUCCUACGGGAGGCAGCAGUGGGGAAUAUUGGACAAUGGGCGCAAGCCUGAUCCAGCCAUACCGCGUGGGUGAAGAAGGCCUUCGGGUUGUAAAGCCCUUUUGUUAGGAAAGAAAAGCAGCAGGUUAAUACCCCGCUGUUCUGACGGUACCCAAAGAAUAAGCACCGGCUAACUUCGUG